rnacentral:rRNA from 4 species
GACCUCAAAUCAGGUAGGACUACCCGCUGAA